rnacentral:rRNA from 1 species
GAAAUUACGCCUUCCAUGAAGCCGGAAUUGCUAGUAAUGGCAGGUCAGCAUACUGCCGUGAAUACGUUCCCGGGCCUUGUACACACCGCCCGUCACACCAUGAGAGUUGGGAAUACCCGAAGCCUGUGAGCUAACUUUUAGAGGCAGCAGUCGAAGGUAGAAUCAAUGAUUGGGGUGAAGUCGUAACAAGGUACC